UCCUGACUGACCGAUAGUGAACCAGUACCGUGAGGGAAAGGCGAAAAGAACCCCGGCGAGGGGAGUGAAAAAGAACCUGAAACCGUGUACGUACAAGCAGUGGGAGCACGCUUAGGCGUGUGACUGCGUACCUUUUGUAUAAUGGGUCAGCGACUUAUAUUCUGUAGCAAGGUUAACCGAAUAGGGGAGCCGAAGGGAAACCGAGUCUUAACUGGGCGUUAAGUUGCAGGGUAUAGACCCGAAACCCGGUGAUCUAGCCAUGGGCAGGUUGAAGGUUGGGUAACACUAACUGGAGGACCGAACCGACUAAUGUUGAAAAAUUAGCGGAUGACUUGUGGCUGGGGGUGAAAGGCCAAUCAAACCGGGAGAUAGCUGGUUCUCCCCGAAAGCUAUUUAGGUAGCGCCUCGUGAAUUCAUCUCCGGGGGUAGAGCACUGUUUCGGCAAGGGGGUCAUCCCGACUUACCAACCCGAUGCAAACUGCGAAUACCGGAGAAUGUUAUCACGGGAGACACACGGCGGGUGCUAACGUCCGUCGUGAAGAGGGAAACAACCCAGACCGCCAGCUAAGGUCCCAAAGUCAUGGUUAAGUGGGAAACGAUGUGGGAAGGCCCAGACAGCCAGGAUGUUGGCUUAGAAGCAGCCAUCAUUUAAAGAAAGCGUAAUAGCUCACUGGUCGAGUCGGCCUGCGCGGAAGAUGUAACGGGGCUAAACCAUGCACCGAAGCUGCGGCAGCGACGCUUAUGCGUUGUUGGGUAGGGGAGCGUUCUGUAAGCCUGUGAAGGUGUGCUGUGAGGCAUGCUGGAGGUAUCAGAAGUGCGAAUGCUGACAUAAGUAACGAUAAAGCGGGUGAAAAGCCCGCUCGCCGGAAGACCAAGGGUUCCUGUCCAACGUUAAUCGGGGCAGGGUGAGUCGACCCCUAAGGCGAGGCCGAAAGGCGUAGUCGAUGGGAAACAGGUUAAUAUUCCUGUACUUGGUGUUACUGCGAAGGGGGGACGGAGAAGGCUAUGUUGGCCGGGCGACGGUUGUCCCGGUUUAAGCGUGUAGGCUGGUUUUCCAGGCAAAUCCGGAAAAUCAAGGCUGAGGCGUGAUGACGAGGCACUACGGUGCUGAAGCAACAAAUGCCCUGCUUCCAGGAAAAGCCUCUAAGCAUCAGGUAACAUCAAAUCGUACCCCAAACCGACACAGGUGGUCAGGUAGAGAAUACCAAGGCGCUUGAGAGAACUCGGGUGAAGGAACUAGGCAAAAUGGUGCCGUAACUUCGGGAGAAGGCACGCUGAUAUGUAGGUGAAGCGACUUGCUCGUGGAGCUGAAAUCAGUCGAAGAUACCAGCUGGCUGCAACUGUUUAUUAAAAACACAGCACUGUGCAAACACGAAAGUGGACGUAUACGGUGUGACGCCUGCCCGGUGCCGGAAGGUUAAUUGAUGGGGUCAGCGCAAGCGAAGCUCUUGAUCGAAGCCCCGGUAAACGGCGGCCGUAACUAUAACGGUCCUAAGGUAGCGAAAUUCCUUGUCGGGUAAGUUCCGACCUGCACGAAUGGCGUAAUGAUGGCCAGGCUGUCUCCACCCGAGACUCAGUGAAAUUGAACUCGCUGUGAAGAUGCAGUGUACCCGCGGCAAGACGGAAAGACCCCGUGAACCUUUACUAUAGCUUGACACUGAACAUUGAGCCUUGAUG
rnacentral:rRNA from 1 species